rnacentral:lncRNA from 1 species
UUGCAUAAAGAUCACUUCUCCACAGUCAUAAUUGCAAAACUUAAAUCAAGAGGACUUUUAUUGGACGUAAUGAGGUUUAGGGAGAGGGUUAUUGAAAUGAAAGAAUAGGUAAACACAAGUUCCAAGCUACAUUGCAAGCAAUUCUUUUGUUUAGAUUUAUAAGAACUCAAUAUUUCCAGCGAUUCUUCUAGCACCUCCAACCACACCCUUAAACUGAAACUUUAAAAACUUUUUAUUUUCUUUGUAUACAAAUUUUUUUUUCUUUAAAUACAAACAUGAAAUACCCCCACACUUAUUCUUUUGCCAAACACCUUCAAAGUACUUCACAAACAUUUCUCAUAAGACAAUCUCACAUUGCUCACUAGCUUGCUUGGAAAGGGUAAAGAAGAAUGUUUCAGGUAUAAGGGUAGACAUAUCUGGUGGUAAGAAAUAAAAGGCUCAACAUACACAGCUCAAAUUGGCAAUCUAAUGAUAUCAUUUUUAUUUGGGAAACAUGGUUAUUUGGGCUAUAGUGGUAAACCUAAUGCCUCUAUCAUUUCCAAGUUCAUGCAAUCAAUGACAAACAUUUCGAAAGAUCGUUACGCAAGUUCUAGAGAUGUAUCUCACAUAAGUUCAUCACACAUGAAAGAAUAGGAGUGUAUAAAAAAUGCACACACUUUCAAUAGGCUCAAAAACUCACAUAGGAUGUAUAUGGUCACUAAAUUCACAUAUGACGCUUUAAUUCAUACUUUAGUUUCACAUUAACAAGGCUAUGUGCAUUUGGUUUUUCAAAGAUGGUCAAACAUGUACAAAACUAACAAGAGAAUAAGGAAUUUCACAAAACACAUGUUAACUAAGUUCUUGAUGAUCAUGGUUCGAAUUUGAUCCAAUUAUAUCAUUGGGUCGGGAAACUAACAAAAAUCUAAUUCAAAACAAUAAGGGAAACAAGACAAUAUUUUUGGAUUUUUAAAUUUCCGAUUUUUUUUAUUUUUUAUUUUUAAAGAAAACAAAAAGCAACAACACAGAAACAAAUGAAAUUCUAGAGAUUUCUACCCCCACACUUAAACUUGACAUUGUCCCCAAUGUCAGAAAACACUAUAACGCAAAUAAAAAUAAAAUAAAAUAAAUAAAUAAUAAGAAACAAAAUAAAGCAAUUGGACUAAAAACUUCCCUAAUUUGCAGUAAAAUCAAGCGAUGACCCCCAAGCUAAAAUUCUGCAAUCAACUUCAAGGGUGGAAAUAACCAAAAGUUCCUGCAAAGAAAAGAAAUAAUUCAGUUAAGUAACGCAAGAAAAUAAAAUAAUAAUAAAAAAUAAAUAAAAAAAAUUGCAAACGAAAAAUUGAAAAUCACGAUAAAAGACAAUGAAUAGAACUAAUAAGUAAUCAUUGGUCGUGUUUGUUGACUUUCCACAGCUUUCCUCUUGAACGGGGUGACACUUAGCUUUUUACUUGCAAGUGAUGAUUUGAUG